rnacentral:rRNA from 1 species
AUGAACGCUGGCGGCGUGCCUAAUACAUGCAAGUCGAGCGAACGGACGAGAAGCUUGCUUCUCUGAUGUUAGCGGCGGACGGGUGAGUAACACGUGGAUAACCUACCUAUAAGCCUGGGAUAACUUCGGGAAACCGUAGCUAAUACCGGAUAAUAUUUUGAACCGCAUGGUUCAAAAGUGAAAGACGGUCUUGCUGUCACUUAUAGAUGGAUCCGCGCUGCAUUAGCUAGUUGGUAAGGUAACGGCUUACCAAGGCAACGAUGCAUAGCCGACCUGAGAGGGUGAUCGGCCACACUGGAACUGAGACACGGUCCAGACUCCUACGGGAGGCAGCAGUAGGGAAUCUUCCGCAAUGGGCGAAAGCCUGACGGAGCAACGCCGCGUGAGUGAUGAAGGUCUUCGGAUCGUAAAACUCUGUUAUUAGGGAAGAACAUAUGUGUAAGUAACUGUGCACAUCUUGACGGUACCUAAUCAGAAAGCCACGGCUAACUACGUG